GCAUUGUGAGCAUCUAAGUUGGCCUGGGGUCCUCUGGAGGUUGCCUCCCUCUUUCUGUCUCUGUUGUUUGUGCCUGGGUGAGAGUUCUCUGCUGUGUUUGUUCUCUCUUUUUGCAGGGAGCUGAACUGCUUUGCCCCAGCCCAGCUGCAGAUCUGCACUCAGCCUCAGCCCCAAGCCCUGGCAGGGUGGGAUGCUUUGGUACCAGGCCGUGGAGCUGUUUGAAAUGCAAUUGCUGCUUGCAGCUGGUUCAGAAAUGGAUUUCCUGUGGCUGUGGGGGCAGAAAUGUGUCUGUGGUUUGCACUUUGCUUUCCACUCCACUGGCCAAGCCAGCCAGAUGUGCAGCAGCAGCAGCAGGAUGGGCACGAGGGCCCCAGCUGCUGCGGUGAAUCCGUCAGCACGGACGCUGGUGCCGCUGCAGCCUGGCCCUGCAGCCUGGCAGGGUGAUCUCCUUUGGCUCGGCUCCUGUGGGCUCCAGAUGCUGACAGAGCAGCUGGAUGAGCAGAAAGCCUCUCGUGCAAACGGCUGUGGAGUGCUUCUCUCUGUUCCCUGCUGCUGGGAGGUGCUGACAGGUUAGGGUUUGCAGGGAGGCAGAUCUCGCGGAGAAGGGCUGAACUCACUGUGCAAGGACACUGCACAAUCCAGUGUGGAUCAAAAGCGAGUGACAACUUUAUUUAGUAGCCACACGCUUAUAUGUGUUACAGAUAAUUUAUGCAUACAUGUAAGAAGCUAAAUGGCUGAAUCCCUAAAUACCCCAUUUGCUCUGCUUGAGUUGUCUGCUGACUCAUCAAGGACAGUGCCUCCCUGGCUAGUUAUAUUAAAUGCUGCCUUUGUUUAUUCAAUAUGUCUUUGUUUCUGUGUGGCCUAGCACAGCCUUAAUUUAGUUCCAUAUACUCAUCCUGCUUGCCCACUUCUAAGUCAUGUCCAUUUUCCUUUAGCCAUUCUGCAACAAGGGUUAGUGGAGGGGUGUGAAGAAUUUGCAGGGAUCUCUAAGGGUCUGCAGACACCUUUGAAAGGUCUGAAGUUGUCUGUAGAUGUCUCUAGGGUGCUGCAGGGGUCUGCAGGCACCUCUUAAAUGUCUGGAGGGGUCUGUAGCUGUCUGUAGAGGUCUCUAGAGCUUUGUAGAGGAAUGUGGGUGCCUGCAGCUGUCUCUAGGGGUGUGUGGAGGUCUGCAGGCACCUUUCAAAUGUCUGGAGGGGUCUGCAGAGCUCUGUCAGGGUCUGUAGAUUUUGGCAGGGUUCUGUAGGAGUCUCUGGGCAGCUUUUAAAGGUGUGGAGGGGUCUGCAGGUGCCUGUUGAGCUUUGUCCAUGUCUGUGGUGGUGUGUAGGUGAGUGUGGGUGUCUGCAGAGGUGUGAAGGGGUCUGUAGCUAUUUGUCAGGGUCUGAGAGAGUCUGCAGAGGUCUGUAGAGUUGAGUAGGUGUUUGGAGGUUUCUGUGUGGGUCUGUAGGUGCCUGCAGGCAUCAGUGAAGGCUCUGGAGGGGUCUGUAGAUGUGUGCAGGGGUCUGUUAAAUAUCUGGAGAGGUCUGGAUGGGUGUGGGGAGCUCUGUAGGGAUCUGUAUGUGUUUGCAGGCAGCUGCAGGGGUCCGUAGAUGCCUGUAGGGAUUUGCAGGGCUCUGUUAGUUCUCUGUAGAGGUCUGCCUGGGUCUGGAGGUGCCUUUUAAUGGGUCUGUGGAGGUCUGGAGGGCUCUGCAGUGGGCUGCAGUGGUCUGUUAAAGGUGUGGAGGGGUCUGUAGGUGUCUGCAUUCAGUGAAGGAGUUCUUUGGCUCCAGGACACUUUUGUCCAGUGUCUCUAAAGUGUGACUGUCCCAAAUGAGAUAGAGGUGCACUGGCAGCGUGUUUGCAGAUGGCCCCAAGCUGAGUGGUGCUGGAGAGCAAGCAGAGGGGCAGGAUGGCAUCCAGGAAACACCUGGGCAGGCAGGGGAGCUGGGCCCAGGCGAAGCUUGUGAGGUUCCAGGAGAGCAAGGGCAGGGUGCUGCGUGUGGGCGGGAGGAAGCCUGCCUGUGCCUGCGGGCUGGGGGCGGAGGCGAUAAAGAGCAGCCCUGGGGGUGCUGGGGAGAAGCUGAGUGCGAGCACAUGGUGUGAGCUUGCAGGCCAGGAGGAGCCUGUCGGUGUCUGCAGGGCUGUGCAAGCAGCUGUAGGAGUCUGCCCAGCUGCAGGGAUGGAUUUGCCUGCACUCAAGCUGCUGCUGCCAGAGCCCCUCCGUGUCAAUCUGUGCUGCCGUUGGGUUCUGCAGCUCUCUCCAGCAAGCAUGGCAUGAGCUGAAGGAGCAGCAGGAGCAGCAUGGCCGUUCCCCAGGCAGCAGGAGGGUUCAGCCCAGCACCAGCUCAUGCGGGAGGAGCAGAUGCUGAGGAACAUCCCCCACGAGACGCAGGUGGCCAAAGAGGCUGGGUCAGGUAAGGCUUUGUGUGGAGUUUGUGCUCCUUCUGGCAGUCAGGUGCACCGGUUCUGAGGAGUAGAAGCAUGGAGUGGUUGCUGUUGGAGAAGAGCUUCCAAAUCAUCCAGGGCAGCCCUUAAGGCAGCACUGCCAGGUCACCCCUAAAGCAUGUCCCUGAGCAGCACAGCUGUAGGACUUUGCCUCCCUCCAGGUAGCUGCAGCCAGCAGUGAGCUCACUGAUCAGACUCUGUGCUCAGAGCAGAGCUGCUGCAGCCCUCUCAGCAUCUUGGUAGCCUCCUCUGCACUGGCUCCAACACUUCCAUGUCCUUCUUGU